UGGGGAAUAUUGCGCAAUGGGCGAAAGCCUGACGCAGCGACGCCGCGUGAGGGAUGACGGCCUUCGGGUUGUAAACCUCUUUCAGCUCUGACGAAGCGAAAGUGACGGUAGGAGCAGAAGAAGCACCGGCCAACUACGUGCCAGCAGCCGCGGUAAUACGUAGGGUGCAAGCGUUGUCCGGAAUUAUUGGGCGUAAAGAGCUCGUAGGCGGUCUGUCGCGUCGAAUGUGAAAACCCGGGACUCAACUCCGGGCCUGCAUUCGAUACGGGCAGACUAGAGUUCGGUGGGGGAGACUGGAAUUCCUGGUGUAGCGGUGAAAUGCGCAGAUAUCAGGAGGAACACCGGUGGCGAAGGCGGGUCUCUGGGCCGAUACUGACGCUGAGGAGCGAAAGCGUGGGGAGCGAAC
rnacentral:rRNA from 1 species